UUAGUCAACCUACUAUAAAGCAUAUUUAUAAAGAAACGAUCCUUUGAGUCACUCUAAAAGCUCCCUCAACCUUUUAGUUUUAUUUGAUGACUAUAAAUAGGGGUUUUUCCUAUUGUAUGAGUCAUAUUAUCUUCACUCCAAAAACUAAAAAAACUCCAUAGGUGUUUAUUUAUCUUUCCAUAAGACAUAAAUAUGAAAAAUUAUAUACGAAUAACAAUUGAGACUCUUAUCAUUAAGGAAUUUGUGUUAGUAAUACACAUUCUACGCAGUACGAUUAAUAAAUAUCUAAAUAAAUAAUAAUAUCAUUCAACAUUUACUUCUAUUUUUAAAACAAUCUAGCUAGAGUCUUCACAUAUGUUUGAUAAUACUAUAUGAAACAUGAAUUUUUACGCAGAAUCAAAUACCAAAAUCAAUUUAAUGGCCCCUUCUAAUGAGCUAAUAAAGAAAUGUUUGAUCGAUAUACUAUUGUUCUACACGUACAAAUCAACUUUCUUUUUAAGGGCAACAUACAAUUGUCACGUAAACAAACGAAAUGAUAUUCAAUACGAGUGAGUAUACUUAUAUGUUAUAAAAUACUUUAGAUAUAUUCAGUAGUUUAGCAUGGUUUCGAUCCAUUGUUUGAAUAUAUGUACGAUAUUUAACAUAUUAAAUUUUAGAGAAAAAUGAUUAAAACUCCCUUUAAAUACUAAAAAAGGGUUGUACCAACAAGAAACUACAUUUAAAAAUAUAAGACUUAUUUAUAGAACAAGACUACAACAUUUGAAUACAUACAUGAAGAAUGUAAUUUAAUUCUUUACACAAAUCUAAUGAUAUUGAAUUAUUGCAUUUAUGACGCAUAUAUGCUGUAUACUUAUGCAUGUAUUGCACAUAAGUUGUAGCUAGUACAAUUAGGCUGUACACCUUGUAAUAAAAAAUAAGAUGAUACAUUUUGAAUGCAAAUUUUACAUAUGAAUUAAGAACAGUACAAUCAUUGAAGUUCCAUUAGAUGUGUGAUAUGUUAAUGAGGUAAUCUUUGGGUCUUUUGAUAAACAUGGACUACAAAUCGACAUGUAUUAUGUCCCCCAGUAUCAAAUUGAAAUGCCCACAGCUAUAUUGCUCCUUAAUAAAGCAAAAUAAACAACUUAAUGUGAUGUUAAAUAGUAGCUUCGAUGUAUACAAGUGUUUUGACAGUCCUUAUUUAGAACUGAAGAUUGCAGUCCCCCUCCAGUUCAGUCCUACAUACCAGUCCUACCUAAAACUAUAAACCAAGUAGCGAAACGAAGAACUACGUGAUCAAUAGCUGAAAAAUGUCGUGGUGUACAGAAACUUUUUUUGUCCGCUAGAGAAGAUGUUCAUUCGAGGUGCGGAAGACAGAUUUAGCUUUACUAAAGAAUGUUUUUGUAAAAUGGAGUUUUGUUAACCCACUAAUUUGUUUAUUCGAGUUCAAAGAUGUUUAUUCUGCGUUAGCGAACUUAAAAAUCAAUUCAACUUUAUUUCUUAUUCUUUUAAUCAGCCCCAGUACUGACAGUCCGAAUGACCGGCAGCUUAAAUAAAAAUAUACCGCAACAAUACUGUUACAUGGUGUCAUUAACAUAGAUCAAUAACCGACAGAUUAUAGGCCUUUUUUCUUUUUUUUCGGAAGAAAGCUUGUGUAAUACAAUAAAGGUAACGAAAACUCCUCUAAUCAAUGUUAGUUAUAUUGAAUGUUUAAAUUAGAAUUAGGAACUGUUUAGAUGUGAAUAAUUCCCCACAUUUAUGCCAUAAUAAUUUUAAAGCGGGUGGUCCAUUAAAAUGUGAGCCCUAUAAUGAGAUUAUUCCCAAAAUUUCAAGGCCAUUAUCGUUUUACUGGGGUGCCCAUUGAAAUCUGACCACUUACUAACUCAAUAAUUAAUUGAGGUCGAGUGAUUGAAACUUAUUCAUAUUUCGAUAAAUUAAAGCAUAAACAAUUAGUUCCAAAACAAAACAGAUCUGAGCUCUCUACCUUACGUACAGUCGAGAAAAUGAAACUUAACGUGAUCGACAAAUUUUCUUUUGCGCAGUCUAAACAGUUGGGUGUCUCCAGGACCACCUUCUACGCCGUCAUGGAGUCCGAAACGUUUCAGAUGAAGAAGGGACCUCUCGAAAAGGCCAAACAGGAUCCGGAGGAGUUCAAGAAAACAAACCAGGGCAAUCCCCCCAGGUUCUUGAAGGGCCAUGCAUGAGAUCUCGGGAUUUCAUAAUCCCCCUGUCCAGAGAUAUAUCAAAAAAGUGUGUGGAAAGAGCCUUGUGAGGGUGGGGAGGCCACUUUUGACACAAACAAUGAAAAAAAAACAAUCUCCUCCGUUGCAAGACUCUUUUGAAUUAGUCUUUUAAACUCUUUUUUGACACUUUUGCCUCCCACUCACUGAUGUUAUCCCCGUCGACUAAACCUUUUGGGUGCAUGUCAUGGGGAAGGCAUGCAGUGUCAAUAUUCCAACCACCGAGGCUGUCAAUGUCACUUUCAGCCAGCACUGUGGCUAUAUCUGCACCGGGUACCAGGCCUUCUGCCAUCGCCUGGAAGCCAUCAUUACCAGCUCUCCACAUUUAAUUAUAGUAUUAAUUUUAUUGAAAUUUGAUUGUUCAUUAAUAAAGUAUAUAUUGUUGAAGUAUAAAAAAUUA
rnacentral:lncRNA from 1 species